GGUGAACGCUGGCGGCGUGCCUAAGACAUGCAAGUCGAGCGGGGCAGGUUUAUACCUGUUCAGCGGCGGACGGGUGAGUAACGCGUGGGUGACCUACCCGGAAGAGGCGGACAACCUGGGGAAACCCAGGCUAAUCCGCCAUGUGGUCCUGUCCUGUGGGGCAGGACUAAAGCGUGGAUAGCCCGCUUCCGGAUGGGCCCGCGUCCCAUCAGCUAGUUGGUGGGGUAAAGGCCCACCAAGGCGACGACGGGUAGCCGGUCUGAGAGGAUGGCCGGCCACAGGGGCACUGAGAAACGGGCCCGAGUCCUACGGGAGGCAGCAGUUAGGAAUCUUCCGCAAUGGACGGAAGUCUGACGGAGCGACGCCGCUUGGAGGAGGAAGCCCUUCGGGGUGUAAACUCCUGAACUGGGGACGAAAGCCCUGUGUAGGGGGAUGACGGUACCCAGGUAAUAGCGCCGGCCAACUCCGUG
rnacentral:rRNA from 1 species